rnacentral:misc_RNA from 1 species
GUUUAGAUUAUUGCCAAUCGGCUUCUUUUGGUUCCAAUUUAUUUGUAAGAAACACCACGAUGUGUUGGUGACAUAAUUGUAAAGCUUUUAUUUGUUAUUAGGUGAUAUUAGUGAAGGCAUUGGAGAUUUGUGCUUGUUCUUCUCCAGUUGCCACAUUCUUGUUAGUUUACCCCAACUCAUUCCUUGGUUAGAGAGAAGUGUGAAUUAAAAC